AAAGGUUAGGAUCAUUUAGGGCUGUAUUGGAGAAUGGCUACCACAAGCCGCAAGGAAGAAACCAUGAGAGAGAGAAAGAUAACCAAAAGGAAACUGAGAAAGAGCUCUCGGUAAAGACAAAAAUUACGAAUAGCCUUAAGGCCGUAAUAAGGACCUAAGAGAAUACCUGUGACCUCCACAUCGAUGAUGCCAGAGUUGGGAGAGAAAGCAACCACCACUACAGAGGCUGCGGGGAAAUGUGUCCUUAGGGAGCAGUCAAAUUGGCCUUAGAGCAAGAAGGUGGAAGAUGACGGGGAUAUCAUGGCGACUCUGAAUUCAGAAAACACAAUGGAUACGUUUCAGGACUUGGGGAGGGCUUCCUGAAAGGGGUAAGGCAGUGGAUUUACACUGGGGUCUCAUGCACACCGUCUCUUAGGAACUUCCUGAAAAUUCAUGUUCUUGAGCCUGACUGCAGCGCUUACUGAAUCAGAAAUGAAUU